GCAUAUCAAUAAGCGGAGGAAAAGAAACUAACAAGGAUUCCCCUAGUAACUGCGAGUGAAGCGGGAAAAGCUCAAAUUUAAAAUCUGGCGGCUUUGGUCGUCCGAGUUGUAUUCUAGAGAAGUGUUUUCCGCGUUGGACCGUGUAUAAGUCUCUUGGAAUAGAGCGUCAUAGAGGGUGAGAAUCCCGUCUUUGACACGGACUACCAAUGCUUUGUGAUACACUCUCAAAGAGUCGAGUUGUUUGGGAAUGCAGCUCAAAAUGGGUGGUAAAUUCCAUCUAAAGCUAAAUAUUGGCGAGAGACCGAUAGCGAACAAGUACCGUGAGGGAAAGAUGAAAAGCACUUUGGAAAGAGAGUUAAACAGUACGUGAAAUUGCUGAAAGGGAAACGCUUGAAGUCAGUCGCGUUAGCUAGAACUCAACCAGGCUUGCUUGGCGUAUUUUCUAGUUAACGGGCCAGCAUCAGUUUUGACCGCAGGAAAAGGGCCAGGGAAAUGUGGCAUCUUCGGAUGUGUUAUAGUCUCUGGUCGUAUACUGUGAUUGGGACUGAGGACCGCAGCACGCGCAAGCUGUGCUUAGGAUGCUGGCGUAAUGGCUUUAAACGACCCGUCUUGAAACACGGACCAAGGAGUCUAACAAACCUGCGAGUAUUUGGGUGGUAAACCCGAGUGCGCAAUGAAAGUGAAAGUUGGGAUUCCUGUCGUGGGAAGCACCGACGCCCGGACCAGACCUUCUGUGACGGAUCUGCGGUAGAGCAUGUUUGUUGGGACCCGAAAGAUGGUGAACUAUGCCUGAAUAGGGUGAAGCCAGAGGAAACUCUGGUGGAGGCUCGUAGCGAUUCUGACGUGCAAAUCGAUCGUCAAAUUUGGGUAUAGGGGCGAAAGACUAAUCGAACCAUCUAGUAGCUGGUUCCUGCCGA
rnacentral:rRNA from 1 species